UACGGAGGAUGCGAGCGUUAUCCGGAUUUAUUGGGUUUAAGGGGUGCGUAGGCGGAUCGUUAAGUCAGUGGUCAAAUUGAGGGGCUCAACCCCUUCCCGCCAUUGAAACUGGCGGUCUUGAGUGGAAGAGAAGUAUGCGGAAUGCGUGGUGUAGCGGUGAAAUGCAUAGAUAUCACGCAGAACCCCGAUUGCGAAGGCAGCAUGCCGGCUUCCGACUGACGCUGAAGCACGAAAGCGUGGGGAUCGAACAGG
rnacentral:rRNA from 1 species